AGGGUGGGGCAGGCAAAACCAGAUGGUCUGAAGCUUCUUGCUGGCUUUUAACUUUGCCUGAUAAAUGAAUGAGACUCUCCUUUCUCCAGUUGACCACGCUAUAAGUCUUGCACAGCACUGGCGAAGAAUCAUGACCUUAGCGAUGAUGUGUCCUGUUCUCAAUGGAAGCCCAUAUCAAUUUAAAGGAGGUACUUCUUUGGAAAGAAGAGGAGAUGAGAUUUUCUCAACUUUAAGGAAG